GAGGAAUAUUGCGCAAUGGGGGCAACCCUGACGCAGCGACGCCGCGUGGAUGAUGAAGGCCUUUGGGUCGUAAAAUCCUGUCAGAUGGAAAGAAAUGUAUAUAUGCUAAUAUCGUAUAUAUUUGACGGUACCAUCAAAGGAAGCACCGGCUAACUCCGUGCCAGCAGCCGCGGUAAUACGGAGGGUGCAAGCGUUGUUCGGAAUUACUGGGCGUAAAGCGCGCGUAGGCGGUUUGCUCAGUCAGAUGUGAAAGCCCUCGGCUUAACCGGGGACGUGCAUUUGAAACUGGCAGACUUGAGUAUUGGAGGGGGUGGUGGAAUUCCCGGUGUAGAGGUGAAAUUCGUAGAUAUCGGGAGGAAUACCGGUGGCGAAGGCGACCACCUGGCCAAAUACUGACGCUGAGGUGCGAAAGCGUGGGGAGCAAAC
rnacentral:rRNA from 1 species